CACAGAUACUGCAGGUGUAACUUUGCUGCUCUCAGGGAGACAAUUUCAUGGAAAUCUUUCUGCAUCCCAGCUUCGGUGCAGUCCAGGAUCUCUGAGCACUUGUUUGUCACUGCUGUUUUGUGGUUAAGAGCUGGCAACUAAACUGUAGUGGUUACUGAUUGCCUGGCACAUGGGGCUGGAAGUCCCAGUUCUGCGUUGAGCUCACACACUAUGCCUGUGCCUGGGAAGAGCUGGCUGUCUUGGAACAAGAGGAACACUAGAUGCUGGGACUGAUGUCGAGAGCUCAGCAGAAACCUCCCAGGGAAUGGCAUCAUUCCGGGCUGUACAAUGCACUGCUUCUGCUCCCACAGCUACAUGGCUGUUCUUCCCUUACAAUGCCUAGCUGUGUUUCUUUUCAUCUUUCUUCUCUUUUUUCCAUGCUGCCUAUUCAUUUAUUUUCACCUCCUGUUUUAAUCCUUUAGUCCUUCAUGUGUGCUGCAUGUGCCUUACUAACCAGUGGUUCCUGCAAAGCCUGCAGCUGCUUCAGUGCAACAGGACCUGGACAAGAACGAGGCUGCAUUCUGCUGGGAUCCAUGUGCCACUGAUUCACGCUGGGAGUUCAGGGUGUCUACGACUGAGUACACUACAAACCCGUUAUAACACUGUUAUCAUCUCAGACUCCUUGAGAAUAUUUUGGGAGUCAAGACUGGGCCCGGUGUUCAUGUGAGUCAGUCAAGUAGCAUGAUGCUUAGUUUGAUCCACAGUAACUGAACUCUGACAGAAAAGCAGAUGGGGUACCACAGACACCAAGCUAAGAUGCAGUUACCACAAGCUACAGGAUACAGGAGCGUCCAUGCCGCUGGCUCUGCCCAAAAGACAAAUCUCCUGCUCGAGUGUUCUCUGUCCACAUAGGACAGAGACCAGCAUAUGUACAGUAUUUGUAAAAUUAGAGAAUUUCACCAUGAGUUACUGUGCCACCACAAAGCCACCUCUUCAUUUGAACCUUAGUAGAGACCCCUUCAAUUUUUUUACAGCUACAUAUUUAAUAUAUAGAAAAUACGAGUUCAUUAAAAAUAAAUGUAUUUCUCUCUAGGAAGUCUCUGGCUUAAAUGCCCAUUUUUCAAACAUUAUAUAUGAAAAUGCUCGAGUCCUGCAGUGGGUCACCAAUUAAAAUUUUGAUUUGAAGAUCAGCCUACAAGUCACAGACAGCCUCAUAAAGAUGUAACUAUCAUAACUUGCCUUUUCCCAGUUGGAACUGUAAGGUGAACGCUUCUGAAGCACCUAAUGUAUGACUAAUGUUUGUUUGUUUUACAAGAAGCUUUACAGCUGCAGUGUUCCAAGAAUGCUUAAAUUCAAUAAACAGCUAUUAUAAUUCACAGAAUGGUAGCAUUUCCUCUGUAAGCAAACAUAACCUAUCCAUCCUGAUUUUUCAGAAUCAGUAAAAAACUUCCAGGUAUAUAACCUCAGAAGUGAGAUUUAAACAGCUCCAGCUCCUACCUCGUUGGCUGUAUAAACAGUACAGCCAGAUGCUGGCAUUCUAAAUUGAUGAGGCAAUCCUCCAUACAAAUUAUUUAGAGGCAUACUUUUUACUUACGUUGCAAGUGAUGUUAUUUGGCGUAUUAUACCGUACCACAACUCAUGCAGCGGAGGAUUUAAUGGGUGUGAUGGUCCCUCUGAGCAGACCUCAAAUUGGUACAUAUAAACUACAUUAUUUUACUACUGUAUGACUUCCCCCAAAUGUAUCCCCACAAAUUUUCUCACCUGUCUUUCCCAGUUUCCCGUUUAAAAAGGUCAUCAAAUUGAAGCAUCUUGUGGCGAGAAAUCAUG